GGGGGCGACAUGGCUUCGACGGCGGUUACAAAAUCAUUGAGUGCAUGCCGAGAGGGUAGUAACUCUCGUAAAACAAUUGCUGCAACUAUAUUUAGUUGCCAACGACGAAAACUACGCACUAGCAGCCUAAAUUACCUGCUAACCCUGGUCGUUUGGGGCCCGUGACGGGCGCCCGGGGGCAUGUUUCGCGGGAUCGCAUGAGACACUGUCUCGAUGUUGAUUGCUAAAACUAAAGAGGCUCGUCCAUUGCACCCUGUUCAUCGGGUCGCUAUUGGACUAGAUCAAUAGAUGAAACUAAGCAUGUAGACCUUGUGAUGGAGUACUGACGGACGCGGGUUCGAUUCCCGCCGCCUCCACCA
rnacentral:tmRNA from 2 species